GUUCAUGUAGCGCAAUGGAUAGCGCGUUGGACUUUCCUUCCAGAGGUCAUGGGUUCGAGUCCCAUCUGGGAUA